ACAGUUAUGACAAUGUAAUUAUCUCCAAACGCCCAAAAUCCCACGUUUUCUUGCAACAUACAAAACAGUAUAAAAAUACAUAACUUUAGCAUUUUAAUAGACAAUUCGUGUAUUCUACCGUUCAUUAUGUAGCCCAGAUCUGAGCGCAACAGAUAGUCGAAUAGCGCUCAGCAGGGGUACUUAACCUGCGGUUAACCGCAAAACCAACAUUCUAAUUGGGGCCAUAUGCCAGGAUGUAGGUGGUCCUCGUUCGUGAGUCUUUUGGU